CACCUACGGGACGCAGCAGUGAGGAAUAUUGGUCAAUGGGCGGGAGCCUGAACCAGCCAAGUCGCGUGAGGGAAGACGGUCCUAUGGAUUGUAAACCUCUUUAGGCGGGGAGCAAUGCCGGGCACGUGUGCCCGGAGGGAGAGUACCCGCAGAAUAAGCAUCGGCUAACUCCGUGCCAGCAGCCGCGGUAAUACGGAGGAUGCGAGCGUUAUCCGGAUUUAUUGUGUUUAAAGGGUGCGUAGGCGGUUUUUUUAGUCAGCGGUAACAUGUCCGGGCUCAACCCGGUCCGGCCGUUGCAACUGGGG
rnacentral:rRNA from 1 species